ACAAAUUCGUUGAAGAGAAUCAGUACGCUGCAAGUUUGUUCCACAGAGAGCCGGUGAUAGCUGAAAGCCGGUGUUCAAGCCGCAGGGGAAUAUCCUCUCUGAGAAGUCAAACUGAACCUAUAAGUAAGUUUGAACGGUAGUCUACCGUUAAAAAGAACGCGUAUGAUUGUACGUUGCUGAGUGCUAUUGAUGAACGGAUCAAUAGAAGCCAGGGUGGUACCGCGGUUAAAACCCGUCCCUAGU
rnacentral:ncRNA from 2 species